rnacentral:rRNA from 1 species
UACGGAGGGUGCGAGCGUUAAUCGGAAUUACUGGGCGUAAAGCGUGCGUAGGCGGCUUGCCAAGUCAGGCGUGAAAGCCCCGGGCUCAACCUGGGAACGGCGCUUGAAACGGGCAGGCUGGAGUUGGGUAGAGGGGAGUGGAAUUCCGGGUGUAGCGGUGAAAUGCGUAGAUAUCCGGAGGAACACCAGUGGCGAAGGCGGCUCCCUGGACCCAAACUGACGCUGAGGCACGAAAGCGUGGGUAGCAAACAGG